CAUGAUCCCCACCAUGAUGAUAUUGGACUGAACCUCUGAACUGUGGAGCGGAUCUGGAUCUGCGGCCUCACCGUCACCACUUCCAGAGGCAGCCAUGGCUGAAGAGAAUUAAGCCCUUUGUGAGAAUUCAAGACAUCUCGGAGUCAAGUGUACUGCCUCUGUUCCCAUCUUAUCAGUGAGAAUUCCCUCCUUCCCUAAGAGGAUUUUGCUUUUUAUGUGAUAAAAAAUCAAUCUGGUGACCUUUGAAGACUAAAGAAUGAAUGAUGGUAUCGUUAACUUUGGAAUUUUUGAGGUAAAGGAUCAUCCAGCUUCAAUCGAAUUGAAAAGCAUGAAUAACUUCAUUUUGAAUGAUACAAUCAUGGUUUCAAUUUUAAUUUCAAACCAGCAUACAUCUCACCUCUGUGCAAGAAGCUAUGGAAAGAGCUGGGGUAGCCUUGGAAGACUGGUGUUCAGUUUGCACCUCACCCGUCUAGUUGUGUGGCUUUGGCUAGAUGACUCUUUCAUCUGGGCCUCAGUUUCCUUAUCUGAAGCAUGGAAAUGAUAAUCUUUGUUCCUCUUGAAUGAAAAGCUUCUCUGAAUAUUAAAGA